rnacentral:rRNA from 1 species
ACGGGUGAGUAACACGUGGGAACCUACCUUCUGGUACGGAACAACCAAGGGAAACUUUGGCUAAUACCGUAUACGACCUCCGGGUGAAAGAUUUAUCGCCGGAAGAGGGGCCCGCGUCCGAUUAGGUAGUUGGUGGGGUAACGGCCUACCAAGCCGACGAUCGGUAGCUGGUCUGAGAGGAUGACCAGCCACACUGGGACUGAGACACGGCCCAGACUCCUACGGGAGGCAGCAGUGGGGAAUAUUGGACAAUGGGCGCAAGCCUGAUCCAGCCAUGCCGCGUGAGUGAUGAAGGCCUUCGGGUUGUAAAGCUCUUUCACCCACGACGAUGAUGACGGUAGUGGGAGAAGAAGCCCCGGCUAACUUCGUGCCAGCAGCCGCGGUAAUACGAAGGGGGCAAGCGUUGUUCGGAAUGACUGGGCGUAAAGGGCGCGUAGGCGGUUCGUUGCGUCAGAUGUGAAAGCCCCGGGCUCAACCUGGGAACUGCAUUUGAUACGGGCGGGCUUGAAUCCAAGAGAGGGUGGUGGAAUUCCCAGUGUAGAGGUGAAAUUCGUAGA